GAAUUACAUCCUUGAACUACUUUAAUAUCGAUGUCGGUCGCUGUUCCUUCAUCAAGAGCGGGCGGGAGAGAACGCCGAUUCGAUUCAGAUGCGGCCGCUGCUGGGUUAGAGGCGGCGUCGGCGUUCCGAGUCCAUCUUCGGUCUCGUUGUUAAGAAUUUUGACGACGAAGAUAUGGAAAUGCAGCGGUGACCGAAUCCCAAACCCUAGCCCAAGCUCGAGCCUAACCUAAUAUUUUUCCGAUAAAUUAUUUCCCUAGUUUCAAUCCAAUUGUGUUGAUAGCCUAAUUUCAUCCACUUUUCUUGGACUCUCUUCGUCUUCGCCGUGUCUCUGAAACCCUAAUCCGAGGGGACGGGGGGUGGGGAGGAAUGCUGAUGAGGGCUAGUCCGCACUGACAGGGGAAUCCCUUCGCGUUACUAAAGAACCUGCAAUGGAGUGUGCUUAGGCUCGACCAUCAAACAAGGGGAGAUUGAAGCCUUAGUCAUUGCAACCGGUGUUCAUGCGUUAUUUGGCAAGGCUGCCCACUUAGUUGACUAUAAUCAAGUGAAAUUUUCAGAAGUCCGCACUGACAGGGGAAUCCCUUUGCUUUACUAAAGACCCUGCAAUGGAGUGUGCUCAGGCUCGGCCAUCAAACAAGGGGAGGUUGAAUCAUUAGUCAUUGCAACUGAUGUUCAUGCCUUAUUUGGCAAGGCUGCCCGCUUAGUUGACUAUCCUAAUCAAGUGAAAUUUUCAAAAGGUCCACUUGGUUUGUUCAUUAAUCAGUUAUGGUGUCUGUGAACAUCUUGUAGAGCAGAAAAACAUCUGAUUUGGAGAUAUUUGCAGGUUUGAAAAACGAUCAGAUGGCAAUAGAUAUGAGGUUUCAGGACAAUGGGGGAUUGAUUUUCUAAUUCUAUCCGGAGCGUGUAUGGUCAGUCCUUGCUAAUCCAAGGACAGUGGAAAUGUCUUUGACAUGGUGGGAAGUAGACUUUGUCUAUCCAUCUCCUAAAGGCGUGUGGUAUGUUGCUUCCCCGGUUUAGUAUCAGUGGAAGUGUAUUGGACAGAUUCAGUGUCUCUACAUUACAGAGGGAGCUCACUUCGAUUGGCAGCCAGAUUGGUUACUGUUCUCUGAGUUGAUUUCUUCAUAGCUGGGCAUUUAUAAAUUUUAUGGAGGUUUGCUUAUCUCGAAGUUAACACAUAAAUGAUAACCUAAUAAAUUGUAUGAAUUUUACAAUCUCAAAACUGAAUGUUCUCGCAUUUACAAUUGAAGUUAAUCCAUAAGCCUUUACGUUAGCCUAUAAAAAGCUUGGCCCAAGCAGAGCAUGGAAAAAGAUGAGCUACCAAGGCAGCCUGGAGAAAAGAUUCCUUGGUUCUGGGCUGACAGCCGACAAGAAAAGGCCCGGCCAAUUGGUCUAACAGGCCUCACGUGGUGGUGUGGGCCGCUGCAGACAACCAUUGGGCCUGUAAGAAACACUCGAUUGGCCAUACGGGCUUGGCCAAAAAUGAUGUUGGGCCGGAUGGGCCUUGACCACUACACGUGUGACUGUCAAGCAGGUGGUAGACGGCACGUGCUUCUGUCGGCCUGUUGAAUGACGGCUACUGGGCCUGUCGGAUGGGCCUUUGAUGACAUUGUAUUGGGCCGUUUGGAAUUGAAUGAAAACAGUGGGCCAGAUGGGCCUUAUAUUACUUUGUAUAGGGCCUUUUGGAUAUGAAUGAAAACAAUAUUAGGCCUUAACGUAUGCACAUGGGUUUGUCCGGCUAUGGGCACUGUUUGACCACUACACGUGUGACUGUCAAGCUUUGGUAUACGGCACGUGCUUUUGUCGGCCUGUUGAGUGACAGCUACUGGGCCUGUCGGAUGGGCCCUUGAUGGAUUUUUAUUGGGCCGUUUGGAUUUUAAUGAAAACAAUGUGGGCCAAAUGGGCCUUUGAUGACUUUAUAUUGGGCCUGUAGGAUAUGAAUGAAAACAAUAUUGGGCCGAAUAGGCCUGUUUGACCACUACAUGUGCGACUGUCAGGCUGCUGGUAGACGGCACGUGCUUCCGUCGGCCCGUUGGGUGACAGCUAUAGGGCCUGACGGAUGGGCCUUCGAAGACAUUGUACUGGGCCGUUUGGAUCUGAAUGACAAUAAUUUGGGCCUGCUGGGCUUUUUAAGACUUUGUAUUGGGCCUUUCGUUUAUGAAUGAAAACAAUAUUGGGCCGAAUAGGCCUUAAGAAACGCACAUGGGUUUGUCCGGCUAUGGGCAAGCAGCAUGUGACUGUCUGACUACUACACGUGUGACUGUCUAGCUGGUUGUAG